rnacentral:rRNA from 1 species
AGUGAACGCUGGCGGUAGGCCUAACACAUGCCAGUCGAACGGCAGCACAGUAAGAGCUUGCUCUUACGGGUGGCGAGUGGCGGACGGGUGAGGAAUACAUCGGAAUCUACUUUUUCGUGGGGGAUAACGUAGGGAAACUUACGCUAAUACCGCAUACGACCUACGGGUGAAGGCAGGGGAUCUUCGGACCUUUCGCGAUUGAAUGAGCCGAUGUCGGAUUAGCUAGUUGGCGGGGUAAAGGCCCACCAAGGCGACGAUCCGUAGCUGGUCUGAGAGGAUGAUCAGCCACACUGGAACUGAGACACGGUCCAGACUCCUACGGGAGGCAGCAGUGGGGAAUAUUGGACAAUGGGCGCAAGCCUGAUCCAGCCAUACCGCGUGGGUGAAGAAGGCCUUCGGGUUGUAAAGCCCUUUUGUUGGGAAAGAAAAGCAGCAGGUUAAUACCCCGCUGUUCUGACGGUACCCAAAGAAUAAGCACCGGCUAACUUCGUG